GAUGAACGCUGGCGGCGUGCUUAACACAUGCAAGUCGAACGAAGCACUUUAUUACGAUUUCUUCGGAAUGACGAUUUAGUGACUGAGUGGCGGACGGGUGAGUAACGCGUGGGUAACCUGCCUUAUACAGGGGGAUAACAGUUAGAAAUGACUGCUAAUACCGCAUAAGCGCACAGGAUUGCAUGAUCUGGUGUGAAAAACUCCGGUGGUAUAAGAUGGACCCGCGUCUGAUUAGCUGGUUGGUGAGGUAACGGCCCACCAAGGCGACGAUCAGUAGCCGACCUGAGAGGGUGACCGGCCACAUUGGGACUGAGACACGGCCCAAACUCCUACGGGAGGCAGCAGUGGGGAAUAUUGCACAAUGGGGAAACCCGUGAUGCAGCGACGCCGCGUGAGCGAAGGAAGUAUUUCGGUAUGUAAAGCUC
rnacentral:rRNA from 1 species